UAAUUUUAUCUUUUUGCGGGCAGUAGGGUUAAAUAGAAAAUUUAAGUCAACUAAACUUCAAUCCCAAGUUAACAUUUUCAUCUCUGCCAUUCAUCAUCUUGAAGGUUUUGGUCCAUCCUCCAAGCUAUGGAAGUAGCGCACUGUUAUCUAGAAGGCAAUGCAGAUGCAGUAGAAUUCUGUCCGCAUGAUUCGUGUAGUCAUGUUCUGGCGGCUGCAACUUAUAAUCUGGAAGAGGGCGAUAAGCCAAUCCGAUCAGGAAGCAUUUCGCUAUUUGAGGUUGAUGCUGAUGAGGACCGCUUUCGGUUGUUUCAUCGCGUGGAAACUGCAGGGAUAUUCGAUGUUAAGUGGAAUCCUGUUGGAGGUGAUAUAGAUAAGCCAAUGCUUGCUCAAGCUGAUGCUGACGGCUUCUUGAAAAUUCAUCAGUUUGAGUGCUUUUCUGAUGAAGAAAAAGGAGGGGUUCUUAAAGAGAUUUGCGGUGAAAAGAUAAGCUCGUCUAUGUGCCUUUGUUUGGAUUGGAAUCCAUCAGGUACGUCUAUCUCUGUGGGACUAUCGGAUGGUUCAGUCUCAGUCGUCUCAUUCUCAGAGUCCAAACUAGAUACAAUUCAACAAUGGAAAGCACAUGACUUUGAGCUAUGGGCUACUUCUUUUGAUAUGCACCAACCACAACUGGUAUACACUGGUUCUGAUGACUGCAAAUUCUGUUGUUGGGAUUUGCGAGAUAGUCCUUCGAAUAGAGUUUUUCUUAAUUCUAAGGUUCAUACGAUGGGUGUUUGUUGCAUUGCAAAAAAUCCUAGUAAUCCAAAUAUCUUACUGACUGGUAGUUAUGAUGAGUGCUUGAGAGUCUGGGAUAUGAGAUCAAUGUCAAAACCGGUAAAUGAGACUUCAGUUCAAUUAGGGGGAGGCGUUUGGAGAAUUAAGUAUCAUCCAUAUGUUCCAGAUUUGGUCUUGGCAGCUUGUAUGCAUAAUGGUUUUGCAGUUGUAGAUACUAAGGAAGAGACAAGUAAGGUGGUUGAAACUUACGAUAAACAUGGCUCACUUGCUUACGGGGCAGAUUGGCAAAAAAGGAAACUGUCUGACAAGUAUAAAAUGAACAGCACUGUGGUGGCUACUUGUUCCUUUUAUGAUCGGCUUCUCCGAAUAUGGGUGCCAGAAAAUAAUAUUGUCACGUGAUUAAGGUGCGAUGCAACAAAGCGUGAUGCCUUUAUUUAUUUUCAGACCAGAAUGGGGUUACUUUUCUAGCCAGGAACCAGAAGAAUCUUUUCAAUAUCAUAUAUUAUGAUUUUAGUGGCGGUUUCACUUUGUUCCAUAUGUGAUAUAUAUAUAGAUUCUUAUGACUUUCGAAGCUCCACUUUCUAUUGUUAAGACAAUACUCUACUUCAACUAUGCUCAACAAUUGAUUGACAAUAAUAUGCAUGACCAUAGAAACCUGUAUGGUAACUUCGAUUGAUAUUUUUAGAUCUUGUGUAGCUCAACGAAUAUUCUUGUAAGAUGAAAAUUUACAGUGUUUUGCAUUAUUAGGCAUUCGGA